rnacentral:rRNA from 1 species
GACGAACGCUGGCGGCGUGCUUAACACAUGCAAGUCGAGCGGUAAGGCCCUUUCGGGGGUACACGAGCGGCGAACGGGUGAGUAACACGUGGGUGACCUGCCCUCAGCUCUGGGAUAAGCCCGGGAAACUGGGUCUAAUACUGGAUAUUACUCUGCGGUGCAUGCCGUGGGGUGGAAAGCCUUGUGCGGCUGGGGAUGGGCCCGCGGCCUAUCAGCUUGUUGGUGGGGUGAUGGCCACCAAGGCGACGACGGGUAGCCGGCCUGAGAGGGCGACCGGCCACACUGGGGACUGAGACACGGCCCAGACUCCUACGGGAGGCAGCAGUGGGGAAUCUUGCGCAAUGGGCGAAAGCCUGACGCAGCGACGCCGCGUGAGGGAUGACGGCCU